rnacentral:tRNA from 1 species
CUGUAGCUCAGUGGGACAGCGUGCAGAAGGUUCUGGGUUCAAUUCCCAGCAUCUCUGG